CUGCAUGAAGCCGGAAUCGCUAGUAAUCGCGGAUCAGAACGCCGCGGUGAAUACGUUCCCGGGUCUUGUACACACCGCCCGUCACACCAUGGGAGUCGGGAACGCCCGAAGUCGGUGCCCCAACCGUAAGGAGGGAGCCGCCGAAGGCGGGCCCGGCGACUGGGGUGAAGUCGUAACAAGGUAUC
rnacentral:rRNA from 1 species